AGAUUGAACGCUGGCGGCAGACCUAACACAUGCAAGUCGAGCGGCAGCACGGGUACUUGUACCUGGUGGCGAGCGGCGGACGGGUGAGUAAUGCCUAGGAAUCUGCCUGAUAGUGGGGGGAUAACGUUCGGAAACGGACGCUAAUACCGCAUACGUCCUACGGGAGAAAGUGGGGGAUCUUCGGACCUCACGCUAUCAGAUGAGCCUAGGUCGGAUUAGCUAGUUGGUAGGGUAAAGGCCUACCAAGGCUACGAUCCGUAACUGGUCUGAGAGGAUGAUCAGUCACACUGGAACUGAGACACGGUCCAGACUCCGUACGGGAGCAGCAGUGGGAAUAUUGGACAAGUGGACGAAAGCCUGAUCCAGCCAUGCCGCGUGUGUAGAAGAGGGUCUUCGGAAUUGUAAAGCUAACGUUUAAGGUGGGAAGG
rnacentral:rRNA from 1 species